UGCGUAGGCGGUUUAUUAAGUUAGAUGUGAAAGCCCCGGGCUCAACCUGGGAACUGCAUUUGAUACUGGUAAACUAGAGUUUGGUAGAGGGUAGUGGAAUUCCAGGUGUAGCGGUGAAAUGCGUAGAGAUCUGGAGGAACACCAGUGGCGAAGGCGGCUACCUGGACCAAAACUGACGCUGAGGUACGAAAGCGUGGGGAGCAAACA
rnacentral:rRNA from 1 species